UUUCCGUAGGUGAACCUGCGGAAGGAUCAUUAAAGAAUUGCCCCGUCUUUCGAAGAUGGGUUCUAUUCCAAACCGUGUUUACAUACCUUUGUUGCUUUGGCGGGCCGCCGCUUCGGCGUUGGCUCCGGCUGACUGCGUCCGCCAGAGGACCACAACUCUUUUGUUUAGUAAUGUCUGAGUACUAUAUAAUAGUUAAAACUUUCAACAACGGAUCUCUUGGUUCUG
rnacentral:misc_RNA from 1 species